rnacentral:ncRNA from 1 species
AGUCAUCGAAGGAACGACCUUAAUUCAUGACC